rnacentral:rRNA from 1 species
AAAUUGAAGAGUUUGAUCAUGGCUCAGAUUGAACGCUGGCGGCAGGCCUAACACAUGCAAGUCGAGCGGUAGCACAGAGAGCUUGCUCUCGGGUGACGAGCGGCGGACGGGUGAGUAAUGUCUGGGAAACUGCCUGAUGGAGGGGGAUAACUACUGGAAACGGUAGCUAAUACCGCAUAACGUCGCAAGACCAAAGUGGGGGACCUUCGGGCCUCAUGCCAUCAGAUGUGCCCAGAUGGGAUUAGCUAGUAGGUGGGGUAAUGGCUCACCUAGGCGACGAUCCCUAGCUGGUCUGAGAGGAUGACCAGCCACACUGGAACUGAGACACGGUCCAGACUCCUACGGGAGGCAGCAGUGGGGAAUAUUGCACAAUGGGCGCAAGCCUGAUGCAGCCAUGCCGCGUGUGUGAAGAAGGCCUUCGGGUUGUAAAGCACUUUCAGCGGGGAGGAAGGCGUUAAGGUUAAUAACCUUGGCGAUUGACGUUACCCGCAGAAGAAGCACCGGCUAACUCCGUGCCAGCAGCCGCGGUAAUACGGAGGGUGCAAGCGUUAAUCGGAAUUACUGGGCGUAAAGCGCACGCAGGCGGUCUGUCAAGUCGGAUGUGAAAUCCCCGGGCUCAACCUGGGAACUGCAUUCGAAACUGGCAGGCUAGAGUCUUGUAGAGGGGGGUAGAAUUCCAGGUGUAGCGGUGAAAUGCGUAGAGAUCUGGAGGAAUACCGGUGGCGAAGGCGGCCCCCUGGACAAAGACUGACGCUCAGGUGCGAAAGCGUGGGGAGCAAACAGGAUUAGAUACCCUGGUAGUCCACGCCGUAAACGAUGUCGAUUUGGAGGUUGUGCCCUUGAGGCGUGGCUUCCGGAGCUAACGCGUUAAAUCGACCGCCGGGAGUACGGCCGCAAGGUUAAAACUCAAAUGAAUUGACGGGGGCCCGCACAAGCGGUGGAGCAUGUGGUUUAAUUCGAUGCAACGCGAAGAACCUUACCUGGUCUUGACAUCCACAGAACUUUCCAGAGAUGGAUUGGUGCCUUCGGGAACUGUGAGACAGGUGCUGCAUGGCUGUCGUCAGCUCGUGUUGUGAAAUGUUGGGUUAAGUCCCGCAACGAGCGCAACCCUUAUCCUUUGUUGCCAGCGGUUAGGCCGGGAACUCAAAGGAGACUGCCAGUGAUAAACUGGAGGAAGGUGGGGAUGACGUCAAGUCAUCAUGGCCCUUACGACCAGGGCUACACACGUGCUACAAUGGCAUAUACAAAGAGAAGCGACCUCGCGAGAGCAAGCGGACCUCAUAAAGUAUGUCGUAGUCCGGAUUGAGUCUGCAACUCGACUCCAUGAAGUCGGAAUCGCUAGUAAUCGUAGAUCAGAAUGCUACGGUGAAUACGUUCCCGGGCCUUGUACACACCGCCCGUCACACCAUGGGAGUGGGUUGCAAAAGAAGUAGGUAGCUUAACCUUCGGGAGGGCGCUUACCACUUUGUGAUUCAUGACUGGGGUGAAGUCGUAACAAGGUAACCGUAGGGGAACCUGCGGUUGGAUCACCUCCUUACCUUAAAGAA